ACCUCCUUCGGGAGGGGAUUAGUGGCGAACGGGUGAGUAACACGUGGGCAAUCUGCCCUGCACUCUGGGACAAGCCCUGGAAACGGGGUCUAAUACCGGAUACUGAUCAUCUUGGGCAUCCUGGAUGAUCGAAAGCUCCGGCGGUGCAGGAUGAGCCCGCGGCCUAUCAGCUUGUUGGUGAGGUAACGGCUCACCAAGGCGACGACGGGUAGCCGGCCUGAGAGGGCGACCGGCCACACUGGGACUGAGACACGGCCCAGACUCCUACGGGAGGCAGCAGUGGGGAAUAUUGCACAAUGGGCGCAAGCCUGAUGCAGCGACGCCGCGUGAGGGAUGACGGCCUUCGGGUUGUAAACCUCUUUCAGCAGGGAAGAAGCGCAAGUGACGGUACCUGCAGAAGAAGCGCCGGCUAACUACGUGCCAGCAGCCGCGGUAAUACGUAGGGCGCGAGCGUUGUCCGGAAUUAUUGGGCGUAAAGAGCUCGUAGGCGGCUUGUCGCGUCGGUUGUGAAAGCCCGGGGCUUAACCCCGGGUCUGCAGUCGAUACGGGCAGGCUAGAGUUCGGUAGGGGAGAUCGGAAUUCCUGGUGUAGCGGUGAAAUGCGCAGAUAUCAGGAGGAACACCGGUGGCGAAGGCGGAUCUCUGGGCCGAUACUGACGCUGAGGAGCGAAAGCGUGGGGAGCGAACAGGAUUAGAUACCCUGGUAGUCCACGCCGUAA
rnacentral:rRNA from 1 species